rnacentral:rRNA from 1 species
UACGGGGGGAGCGAACGUUGUUCGGAAUUACUGGGCGUAAAGGGCGUGCAGGCGGUCCUGUAAGAGAGUUGUGAAAUGCCCUGGCUCAACCAGGGAAAUGCACCUCUGACUGCAGGACUUGAGUAUGGGAGAGGAUGGGGGAAUUCCCGGUGUAGCGGUGAAAUGCAUUGAUAUCGGGAGGAACACCAGUGGCGAAGGCGCCCAUCUGGCCUAAUACUGACGCUCAGGCGCGAAAGCUAGGGGAGCAAACAGG